GCAAGUCGAGCGAGAAAGGACUUCGGUCCCGGUAAAGCGGCGCACGGGUGAGUAACACGUAGGUUAUCUACCCCCGAGUGGUGGACAACUCCCCGAAAGGGGAGCUAAUACAGCAUAAGACCACUUUUAUUAGUGGCCAAAGCGAGCCUCUCCAUUGGAAGCCCGCGCUUGGGGAUGAGCCUGCGGCCCAUCAGCUAGUUGGUAAGGUAAAGGCUUACCAAGGCUAAGACGGGUAGCUGGUCUGAGAGGAUGGAC
rnacentral:rRNA from 1 species